GAUGAACGCUGGCGGCGUGCCUAAUACAUGCAAGUCGAGCGAACAGACGAGGAGCUUGCUCCUCUGACGUUAGCGGCGGACGGGUGAGUAACACGUGGAUAACCUACCUAUAAGACUGGGAUAACUUCGGGAAACCGGAGCUAAUACCGGAUAAUAUAUUGAACCGCAUGGUUCAAUAGUGAAAGACGGUUUUGCUGUCACUUAUAGAUGGAUCCGCGCCGCAUUAGCUAGUUGGUAAGGUAACGGCUUACCAAGGCAACGAUGCGUAGCCGACCUGAGAGGGUGAUCGGCCACACUGGAACUGAGACACGGUCCAGACUCCUACGGGAGGCAGCAGUAGGGAAUCUUCCGCAAUGGGCGAAAGCCUGACGGAGCAACGCCGCGUGAGUGAUGAAGGUCUUGGAUCGUAAAACUCUGUUAUUAGGGAAGAACAAAUGUGUAAGUAACUAUGCACGUCUUGACGGUACCUAAUCAGAAAGCCACGGCUAACUACGUG
rnacentral:rRNA from 1 species